rnacentral:rRNA from 1 species
GAUGAACGCUGGCGGCGUGCCUAAUACAUGCAAGUCGAGCGAACAGACGAGGAGCUUGCUCCUUCGACGUUAGCGGCGGACGGGUGAGUAACACGUAGGUAACCUACCUAUAAGACUGGGAUAACUUCGGGAAACCGGGGCUAAUACCGGAUAAUAUUUCGAACCGCAUGGUUCGAUAGUGAAAGAUGGCUUUGCUAUCACUUAUAGAUGGACCUGCGCCGUAUUAGCUAGUUGGUAAGGUAACGGCUUACCAAGGCAACGAUACGUAGCCGACCUGAGAGGGUGAUCGGCCACACUGGAACUGAGACACGGUCCAGACUCCUACGGGAGGCAGCAGUAGGGAAUCUUCCGCCAUGGGCGGCAGCCUGACGGCGCACCGCCGCGUGAGUGAUGAAGGUCUUCGGAUCGUAAAACUCUGUUAUUAGGGAAGAACAAACGUGUAAGUAACUGUGCACGUCUUGACGGUACCUAAUCAGAAAGCCACGGCUAACUACGUG